rnacentral:rRNA from 1 species
GACGAACGCUGGCGGCGUGCUUAACACAUGCAAGUCGAACGAAGAGCGAUGGAAGCUUGCUUCUAUCAAUCUUAGUGGCGAACGGGUGAGUAACGCGUAAUCAACCUGCCCUUCAGAGGGGGACAACAGUUGGAAACGACUGCUAAUACCGCAUACGAUCUAACCUUGGCAUCGAGGAUGGAUGAAAGGUGGCCUCUAUUUAUAAGCUAUCACUGAAGGAGGGGAUUGCGUCUGAUUAGCUAGUUGGAGGGGUAACGGCCCACCAAGGCGAUGAUCAGUAGCCGGUCUGAGAGGAUGAACGGCCACAUUGGGACUGAGACACGGCCCAGACUCCUACGGGAGGCAGCAGUGGGGAAUCUUCCGCAAUGGACGAAAGUCUGACGGAGCAACGCCGCGUGAGUGAUGACGGCCUUCGGGUUGUAAAGCUCUGUUAAUCGGGACGAAAGGCCUUCUUGCGAAUAGUUAGAA